rnacentral:rRNA from 1 species
UACGUAGGUGGCAAGCGUUGUCCGGAUUUACUGGGCGUAAAGGAUGCGUAGGCGGACAUUUAAGUCAGAUGUGAAAUACCCGAGCUUAACUUGGGUGCUGCACUUGAAACUGGGUGUCUAGAGUGCAGGAGAGGUAAGUGGAAUUCCUAGUGUAGCGGUGAAAUGCGUAGAGAUUAGGAAGAACACCAGUGGCGAAGGCGACUUACUGGACUGUAACUGACGCUGAGGCAUGAAAGCGUGGGGAGCAAACAGG